rnacentral:rRNA from 1 species
GCACAAGCGGUGGAGCAUGUGGUUAAUUCGAUGCAACGCGAAGAACCUUACCUGGUCUUGACAUCCCGGAGACCCUUAGGAAACUAGGGGGUGCUUCCAUCUGGAAGAAUCUGGAGACAGGUGCUGCAUGGCUGUCGUCAGCUCGUGUCGUGAGAUGUUGGGUUAAGUCCCGCAACGAGCGCAACCCUUGCCUUUAGUUGCCAGCAGUUCGGCUGGGCACUCUAAAGGGACUGCCGGUGUUAAACCGGAGGAAGGUGGGGAUGACGUCAGGUCCUCAUGGCCUUUAUAGACCAGGGCUACACACGUACUACAAUGGCCGAUACAAAGGGCAGCGACACUGCGAGGUGAAGCCAAUCCCGUAAAAUCGGUCUCAGUCCGGAUUGGAGUCUGCAACUCGACUCCAUGAAGUUGGAAUCGCUAGUAAUCGUGGAUCAGCAUGCCACGGUGAAUACGUUCCCGGGCCUU